rnacentral:rRNA from 1 species
AUUGAACGCUGGCGGCAGGCCUAACACAUGCAAGUCGAGCGGAUGAAGGGAGCUUGCUCCUGGAAUCAGCGGCGGACGGGUGAGUAAUGCCUAGGAAUCUGCCUGGUAGUGGGGGAUAACGUCCGGAAACGGGCGCUAAUACCGCAUACGUCCUGAGGGAGAAAGUGGGGGAUCUUCGGACCUCACGCUAUCAGAUGAGCCUAGGUCGGAUUAGCUAGUUGGUGGGGUAAAGGCCUACCAAGGCGACGAUCCGUAACUGGUCUGAGAGGAUGAUCAGUCACACUGGAACUGAGACACGGUCCAGACUCCUACGGGAGGCAGCAGUGGGGAAUAUUGGACAAUGGGGGAAAGCCUGAUCCAGCCAUGCCGCGUGUGUGAAGAAGGUCUUCGGAUUGUAAAGCACUUUAAGUUGGGAGGAAGGGCAGUAAGUUAAUACCUUGCUGUUUUGACGUUACCAACAGAAUAAGCACCGGCUAACUUCGUG